CGACCUCAGAGCAGGCGAGACUACCCGCUGAAUUUAAGCAUAUUACUAAGCGGAGGAAAAGAAACUAACAAGGAUUCCCCCAGUAGCGGCGAGCGAACAGGGAAGAGUCCAGCACCGAACCCCGCAGGCUGCCGCCUGUCGUGGCAUGUGGUGUUUGGGAGGGUCCACUACCCCGACGCCUCGCGCCGAGCCCAAGUCCAACUUGAAUGAGGCCACGGCCCGUAGAGGGUGCCAGGCCCGUAGCGGCCGGUGCGAGCGUCGGCGGGACCUCUCCUUCGAGUCGGGUUGCUUGAGAGUGCAGCUCCAAGUGGGUGGUAAACUCCAUCUGAGACUAAAUAUGACCACGAGACCGAUAGCGAACAAGUACCGUGAGGGAAAGUUGAAAAGAACUUUGAAGAGAGAGUUCAAAAGUACGUGAAACCGUUCUGGGGUAAACGUGAGAAGUCCGAAAGGUCGAACGGGUGAGAUUCACGCCCAUCCGGCCACUGGCCUCCGCCCUCGGCAGAUGGGGCCGGCCGCCCGCGCGGAGCAAUCCGCGGCGGGGUCGUGUCCGGUUGCCUUUCCACUCGCCGCGGGGUGGGGCCGUUCCGGUGUGCGGUGGGCCGCACUUCUCCCCUAGUAGGACGUCGCGACCCGCUGGGUGCCGGCCUACGGCCCGGGUGCGCAGCCUGUCCUUCCGCGGGCCUCGGUUCGCGUCUGUUGGGCAGAGCCCCGGUGUCCUGGCUGGCUGCCCGGCGGUAUAUCUGGAGGAGUCGAUUCGCCCCUUUGGGCGCUCGGGCUCCCGGCAAGCGCGCGCGGUUCUUCCCGGAUGACGGACCUACCUGGCCCGGCCCCGGACCCGCGCCGCUGUUGGCUCGGGAUGCUCUCGGGCGGAAUAAUCGCUCCCGUCAGCGGCGCUUCAGCUUUGGACAAUUUCACGACCCGUCUUGAAACACGGACCAAGGAGUCUAACAUGUGCGCGAGUCAUUGGGCUGUACGAAACCUAAAGGCGUAAUGAAAGUGAAGGUCUCGCCUUGCGCGGGCCGAGGGAGGAUGGGGCUUCCCCGCCCUUCACGGGGCGGCGGCCUCCGCACUCCCGGGGCGUCUCGUCCUCAUUGCGAGGUGAGGCGCACCUAGAGCGUACACGUUGGGACCCGAAAGAUGGUGAACUAUGCCUGGCCAGGACGAAGUCAGGGGAAACCCUGAUGGAGGUCCGUAGCGAUUCUGACGUGCAAAUCGAUCGUCGGAGCUGGGUAUAGGGGCGAAAGACUAAUCGAACCAUCUAGUAGCUGGUUCCCUCCGAAGUUUCCCUCAGGAUAGCUGGUGCUCGUACGAGUCUCAUCCGGUAAAGCGAAUGAUUAGAGGCCUUGGGGCCGAAACGACCUCAACCUAUUCUCAAACUUUAAAUGGGUGAGAUCUCCGGCUUGCUUGAUAUGCUGAAGCCGCGAGCAAACGACUCGGAUCGGAGUGCCAAGUGGGCCACUUUUGGUAAGCAGAACUGGCGCUGUGGGAUGAACCAAACGCCGAGUUAAGGCGCCCGAAUCGACGCUCAUGGGAAACCAUGAAAGGCGUUGGUUGCUUAAGACAGCAGGACGGUGGCCAUGGAAGUCGGAAUCCGCUAAGGAGUGUGUAACAACUCACCUGCCGAAGCAACUAGCCCUGAAAAUGGAUGGCGCUGAAGCGUCGUGCCUAUACUCGGCCGUCAGUCUGGCAGUCAUGGCCGGUCCUUGCGGCCGGCCGCGAAGCCCUGACGAGUAGGAGGGUCGCGGCGGUGGGCGCAGAAGGGUCUGGGCGUGAGCCUGCCUGGAGCCGCCGUCGGUGCAGAUCUUGGUGGUAGUAGCAAAUACUCCAGCGAGGCCCUGGAGGGCUGACGCGGAGAAGGGUUUCGUGUGAACAGCCGUUGCACACGAGUCAGUCGAUCCUAAGCCCUAGGAGAAAUCCGAUGUUGAUGGGGGCCGUCAUAGCAUGAUGCGCUUUGUGCUGGCCCCCGUUGGGCGAAAGGGAAUCCGGUUCCUAUUCCGGAACCCGGCAGCGGAACCGAUACAAGUCGGGCCCCUCUUUUAGAGAUGCUCGUCGGGGUAACCCAAAAGGACCCGGAGACGCCGUCGGGAGAUCGGGGAAGAGUUUUCUUUUCUGCAUGAGCGUUCGAGUUCCCUGGAAUCCUCUAGCAGGGAGAUAGGGUUUGGAACGCGAAGAGCACCGCAGUUGCGGCGGUGUCCCGAUCUUCCCCUCGGACCUUGAAAAUCCGGGAGAGGGCCACGUGGAGGUGUCGCGCCGGUUCGUACCCAUAUCCGCAGCAGGUCUCCAAGGUGAAGAGCCUCUAGUCGAUAGAAUAAUGUAGGUAAGGGAAGUCGGCAAAUUGGAUCCGUAACUUCGGGAUAAGGAUUGGCUCUGAGGAUCGGGGCGUGUCGGGCUUGGUCGGGAAGUGGGUCAGCGCUAACGUGCCGGGCCUGGGCGAGGUGAGUGCCGUAGGGGUGCCGGUAAGUGCGGGCGUUUAGCGCGGGCGUGGUCUGCUCUCGCCGUUGGUCGGCCUCGUGCUGGCCGGCGGUGCAGGAUGCGCGCGCCUGCGCGGCGUUCGCGCCCCGGUGCUUCAACCUGCGUGCAGGAUCCGAGCUCGGUCCCGUGCCUUGGCCUCCCACGGAUCUUCCUUGCUGCGAGGCCGCGUCCGCCUUAGCGUGCUCCUCCGGGGGCGCGCGGGUGCGCGGAUUCUCUUCGGCCGCCAUUCAACGAUCAACUCAGAACUGGCACGGACUGGGGGAAUCCGACUGUCUAAUUAAAACAAAGCAUUGCGAUGGCCCUAGCGGGUGUUGACGCAAUGUGAUUUCUGCCCAGUGCUCUGAAUGUCAACGUGAAGAAAUUCAAGCAAGCGCGGGUAAACGGCGGGAGUAACUAUGACUCUCUUAAGGUAGCCAAAUGCCUCGUCAUCUAAUUAGUGACGCGCAUGAAUGGAUUAACGAGAUUCCCGCUGUGAACGAUCAGCUGGGAACAGACCCUUGGGGAGUUCCUUACAAAAUCGUUCGAGAAAAAAUAAGAUCGCCCAUGAUGCUGUCUACGCUACGUGCUGGGGAUGGAGACACGACCAAGAAUUGGGAAGAAACAGCAAGGUUGCUGUUGGAUACAUUAUUGCCUGAUGACAUUGAGGACCAAGACUCGCACGAGCAGCGGGACAUACGUCAGGCGCUGUCGAUUCCGUAUCUUAACGAUACAAACGUGUGCCCUUUCUCAGCAGAGGAGGUCGAAGCAACCAUCUACACCUUUGCAAGGAAGAAGGCGCCUGGUCCUGACGGGAUCCCUGUGGAGAUCUUACAGGGACUCGCACACUUGGUCGCCCCGGCACUAAGUCGUAUUUACAACAGUUGUUUACAAAGGGGCUAUUAUCCACUAAAGUGGAAAACUGCAGAAGUUGUAGUUAUCAGGAAAGGCCCUGAUAAAGAUCCAACAGUGCCGAAAUCCUAUCGGCCUAUCUGUCUGCUGGAUGUAAUGGGCAAAGCAUUUGAGAAGUUGCUGGCUGACCGUCUCCAGAGUCAUCGAACUCUGUAUGGUAUGAGUGAUAGGCAGUUCGGAUUCCGAAAGGGUCGCUCCACCCAGGAUGCGAUCAAUGAGGUUUGCCGAAUUGUUCACUCUGCGACAUCAAAGUAUGUACUUGGCAUAAUGAUAGACAUCUCAGGGGCCUUCGACAACCUGUGGUGGCCGGCACUCUUCUCUAGCCUGCGAGAGAUUGGGUGCCCGCAGCUGCUGUAUGGCUGUCUGGAGGCCUACUGUGAUGGAAGGACUGCUAAGAUAACGGCUCCUGGAGCCGUCGUAUCUAAAAGAGUAUCCCGUGGUUGUCCCCAGGGAUCGGUGUGUGGUCCCAUUUUCUGGGAUAUUAACAUGGAACCUUUGUUGAACGUCCUGCAGCGAGAGACUGCAGUUCUGGGAGUCGUUGCUUAUGCGGAUGAUCUCGCAAUUCUAGUAGAAGGUGACACUCGCAAUGUGAUCGAGGACCGAUCACGACUGGUUAUUGAACUAUUAACCAACUGGUGUACGAAGACUAAAAUGUCUAUAGCACCACAAAAAUCCCUAUAUAUGCUCUUGAAAGGCAAGUUAAAUAGGGACCCAACAGUCAGAAUUAAUGGCCAAGCAGUGUCACGACAGAGAUAUGCCCGUUACCUUGGGGUAUAUUUAGAUGAGAAUUGGAGUUUCAUUCCGCAUAUCGAGCAAAUAACGACAAAGUCCCUAGCUUUGUUCAAUAAGAUAAUAUCAAUUGGACAAAGAAGGUUCCAUCUGCCGUCAAAGGCAAUAAAUAUUUACCAUAACAGCAUAUUGGCACCAAUAGUAGGGCACGCAUCCAGUGUGUGGGCCCACAGGUUAGCUCUGGUGCGGCCUGCCGCUGCUGUCAGGCGAAUACAGAGGAACGUUCUGUUGAGAUGCAUUGGAGCAUUCAACACAAGUCCAACAGAUGCACUGUUGGUAAUUAUGGGUCUAUGUCCAUUAGACCUAAUAAUAAGGCAGCACGCAGCCUUCUAUUGGCUGCGCAAACAGAACAUCGACAGGGUACAAGAUAUAAUGGGCGUUCCUCUGGUAAGUGUCAAAGCCAUUCGCAAGAAAGUGCUUGACAUUUGGCAGGACGAAUGGGAUGGAUCCAGUACGGGCCGUAGAGUCCAUGGGUUUAUACCCACAGUAAGGGGAAGAUUAAAUAACAAGAUAAUGAAGCCCUCACAGGGCAUAGUUCACUUCCUCACAGGACAUGGUCCUUAUCCCACGUACCUGCAUAAAAUAGGGAAAAGGCCAACACCGGAGUGUGACUGUGGUGCCCACGAAGGAUCGCCAGAACACAUAGUGUUCGAGUGCCCAAUAUACGAACAGGCUGUCUCAGGGGAGAGGCAGCUUCUGCGUACUAGAAAUGUUAAUGAAAUAUUAACAGAAAGCGAAAUGUUCAGCAAUUUCGCAAAAUUGGUUAACAAAAUCUCAAGGGAGGCCCAGCGAGCCUACCUUGGGAGAGAGUAAAUGCGCUUAAGAUCUAAUGCGCAAUUGUAAAUAUG